AGUGAACGCUGGCGGCAGGCCUAACACAUGCAAGUCGAGCGGCAGCGCGGGGCAACCUGGCGGCGAGCGGCGGACGGGUGAGGAAUACGUCGGAAUCUGCCUUUUUGUGGGGGAUAACGUAGGGAAACUUACGCUAAUACCGCAUACGACCUACGGGUGAAAGUGGGGGACCGCAAGGCCUCACGCAGAAAGAUGAGCCGACGUCCGAUUAGCUAGUUGGUGAGGUAAUGGCUGACCAAGGCGACGAUCGGUAGCUGGUCUGAGAGGAUGAUCAGCCACACUGGGACUGAGACACGGCCCAGACUCCUACGGGAGGCAGCAGUGGGGAAUAUUGGACAAUGGGCGCAAGCCUGAUCCAGCCAUGCCGCGUGUGUGAAGAAGGCCUUCGGGUUGUAAAGCACUUUUGUCCGGAAAGAAAUCCUGAAGAUUAAUACUCUUUGGGGAUGACGGUACCGGAAGAAUAAGCACCGGCUAACUUCGUGCCAGCCGCCGCCGUAA
rnacentral:rRNA from 1 species